CAAGUCGAACGGAUCCUUCGGGAUUAGUGGCGGACGGGUGAGUAACACGUGGGAACGUGCCCUUUGGUUCGGAACAACUCAGGGAAACUUGAGCUAAUACCGGAUGUGCCCUUCGGGGGAAAGAUUUAUCGCCAUUGGAGCGGCCCGCGUCUGAUUAGCUAGUUGGUGAGGUAAAGGCUCACCAAGGCGACGAUCAGUAGCUGGUCUGAGAGAAUGAUCAGCCACAUUGGGACUGAGACACGGCCCAAACUCCUACGGGAGGCAGCAGUGGGGAAUCUUGCGCAAUGGGCGAAAGCCUGACGCAGCCAUGCCGCGUGAAUGAUGAAGGUCUUAGGAUUGUAAAAUUCUUUCAGCAGGGACGAUAAUGACGGUACCUGCAGAAGAAGCCCCGGCUAACUUCGUGCCAGCAGCCGCGGU
rnacentral:rRNA from 1 species